UACAGAGGGUGCGAGCGUUGUCCGGAAUCACUGGGCGUAAAGGGCGCGUAGGUGGCGCCGCAAGUCCAUGGCGAAAGCUCGAUGCUCAACAUCGAGUCGGCCACGGAGACUGCGGGGCUCGAGCACUGUAGGGGCAGAUGGAAUUCCGGGUGUAGCGGUGGAAUGCGUAGAGAUCCGGAAGAACACCGGUGGCGAAGGCGGUCUGCUGGGCAGUUGCUGACACUGAGGCGCGACAGCGUGGGGAGCAAACAGG
rnacentral:rRNA from 1 species